ensembl:snRNA
ACCAUCCUUUUCUUGGGGUUGUACUACUGUCCAGUGAGUACAUAGUGAGGGCAGUACUGCUAACACCUACACAACAUGCCUCCAUCAUCUAGAACUUUGCUUUACUUUGGUACAAUUUUUGGAAAA